rnacentral:rRNA from 1 species
AUGUCAUAUGGAGGUCGGCUAGUCCUGAUUAACUCAGUACUGACUAGUAUGCCGAUGUUCUUACUUUCGUUCUUCGAAAUUCCGAAAGGGGUUCGGAAGCGAGUUGAUUUCUUUAGAUCUCGUUUCUUCUGGCAGUCUGAUGAGGCCAAGAGGAAAUACCGUCUCGCGAGAUGGGACAUCCUUUGCCGACCUAAAGACCAAGGGGGUCUCGGUAUUGAGAACUUAGAAAUUAAGAAUAAAUGUCUUAUGAGUAAGUGGUUAUACAGGCUAGAGACUGAGCCGGAGGGUAUGUGGUCACAAAUCUUGCGCAAUAAGUAUUUACACUCAAAGACACUAGCUCAGGUUACCAUGCGACCGACUGACUCGCCGUUCUGGAAGGGACUUAUGAGAACAAAGGACUUGUUCUUUCGUAGGGUCAAAUUCUUAGUGGGCAAUGGGAUGUCAACAAGAUUUUGGGAGGAUACAUGGUUAGGAGAGACGCCCCUGGCCGUUCAAUACUCCACCCUAUAUAAUAUUGUGCAAUGUAAGGAGGAUUACGUAGGCACAGUACUUCAAACCAUUCCCUUAAACAUCCAGUUCGGACAGGUGUUAGUUGGUGAGAGAUGGACCACCUGGAUGCAUUUAGUUUGGAGACUGAUAGACGUUCAACUCUCCGACCAACCGGAUGCGUCACAAUGA